CCCCCGGGCGCCCCUGGGCCCCACCGCGGGCGCCCGCCGGAGGUCACCAAACUCUUGAUAAUUUAUGGCCUCUCUGAGUCUUCUGUACUGAAUAAGUCAAAACUUUCAACAACGGAUCUCUUGGUUCUGGCAUCGAUGAAGAACGCAGCGAAAUGCGAUAAGUAAUGUGAAUUGCAGAAUUCAGUGAAUCAUCGAAUCUUUGAACGCACAUUGCGCCCGCCAGCAUUCUGGCGGGCAUGCCUGUUCGAGCGUCAUUUCAACCAUCAAGCCCCCGGGCUUGUGUUGGGGACCUGCGGCUGCCGCAGGCCCUGAAAAGCAGUGGCGGGCUCGCUGUCGCACCGAGCGUAGUAGCAUACAUCUCGCUCUGGUCGCGCCGCGGGUUCCGGCCGUUAAACCACCUUUUAACCCAAGGUGACCCA
rnacentral:rRNA from 1 species